UUCCAAGCCGGGUUAUCUUUGUUGAGGAUC
rnacentral:piRNA from 1 species